GCCAGGUGUGGUGGUGCAUGCCUGUAAUCCUAGCUACUCAGGAGGCUGAGGCAGGGGAAUUGCUUGAACCCGGGAGACAGAGGUUGCAGUGAGCCGAGAUGGCACAACUGAACUCCAGCCUGGGUAACACAGUGAGACUCUGUCUCAA
rnacentral:SRP_RNA from 1 species